rnacentral:lncRNA from 1 species
CAUGGCGUAUAUGAUAGAUUCUAUUAUCGAAGUAUAUGAGAUUUUACUCAUACGCUCUCUUUCUCUUGAGGAGUUGUCGGACAAUCCUUCUUAGAGAGAGUAAUUUCAUGGUCUAUUGAGAGAUAGCUUUUUUUGAAAUUCUCCAUACCGAACCGUUUCUGCACAGCAUCUUUGUACGUGGAUUGGAAUAAUCCAAGCAGCCUCUU